UACGGAGGGUGCAAGCGUUAUCCGGAUUCACUGGGUUUAAAGGGUGCGUAGGCGGGUAGGUAAGUCAGUGGUGAAAUCCUGGAGCUCAACUCCAGAACUGCCAUUGAUACUAUCUAUCUUGGAUAUUGUGGAGGUAAGCGGAAUAUGUCAUGUAGCGGUGAAAUGCUUAGAUAUGACAUAGAACACCCAUUGCGAAGGCAGCUUACUACGCAUAUAUUGACGCUGAGGCACGAAAGCGUGGGGAUCAAACAGGAUUAGAUACCCUGGUAGUCCACGCCCUAAACGAUGGAUGCUCGACAUACGCGAUACACUGUGUGUGUCUGAGCGAAAGCAUUAAGUAUCCCACCUGGGAAGUACGUUCGCAAGAAUGAAACUCAAAGGAAUUGGCGGGGGUCCGCACAAGCGGUGGAGUAUGUGGUUUAAUUCGAUGAUACGCGAGGAACCUUACCUGGGCUAGAAUGCUGGGAGACCGCUAGUGAAAGCUAGUUUUGUAGCAAUACACUGCCAGUAAGGUGCUGCAUGGCCGUCGUCAGCUCGUGCCGUGAGGUGUUGGGUUAAGUCCCGCAACGAGCGCAACCCCUAUCUUUAGUUGCCAACAGGUAAUGCUGGGAACUCUAAAGAAACUGCCGCCGUAAGGUGUGAGGAAGGAGGGGAUGAUGUCAGGUCAUCAUGGCCUUUAUGCCCAGGGCUACACACGUACUACAAUGGGGAAGACAAAGGGCUGCAACAUAGCGAUAUGAAGCCAAUCCCAAAAACUUCCUCUCAGUUCAGAUUGCAGGCUGCAACUCGCCUGCAUGAAGCUGGAAUCGCUAGUAAUCGUAUAUCAGCAAUGAUACGGUGAAUACGUUCCCGGACCU
rnacentral:rRNA from 1 species